rnacentral:lncRNA from 1 species
CAACAGUGUAAUAUUUUUGCAAAAAUGUAUCAUUCUUAUGGCAGUUUUGGAAGGUUUCAUCAGACUACUGGAUGAACAGAGUGGGAGACAAAUACACAGCAAGACUGCUCUGAAGUUAGGACAUGGACCUGGGAUGUAGAGGGCUAAGGCCUGAUGAAGACUGGGGACAAAGGGUGAAAGAUCAGCAGUCCCGGGUAACUGGGGACCCAAACCUGCAAAUCACCGAAAGCUCCAGAAACGUCACGAGAUGUGGGUCACUGGCUCUCCUCCCGUCUCGGCCCUCAGACGAGCUUGUUGGUGCAAAUAAUCCCAUGGGAUUUCCAUGUAGGCUACUGCUUUUGAAUGGCGGGAGUACAAGGAUACAAAUUCGGAAGUUCUUUGCAAACAAGGAAAAGAGAGAACUGGAUUUCAAACUGGAGCUAGAAAAUGACAGCGUCACUUGUGUCCUGUCCCCCGACUCCCUGGGUUCUUGACCAAACCUGAGAGAUCCAUCAUCUACACUUGAAGAAGGUACUCUGUCAGAAUGCAGAAAGCUAAUGUUAUUCCUGGUAAGCACUGAUUUUAAAUCUGCCUAUAACAACUCUCAGUGCUUUCCUUGCCUCAGUUUGUCAUAUCUUUGAUCUUGGUGAAGAAUAAGGAAAGCACCAAGAACAUUCUGGCUUUUAAGCUGAAUUCUCAGUUUUAUAAUAGGUGGUCACGUGUGAUAUAGAGUUAGUCAUGCAGUGGCUCAACAGUAAUAAGCUAUGCAACCACACUCUUUCGUUGAUAUUCAGAAAACAAACUUUGUAAGCUUUGUGCAUCAUCUCAAUCUGAUGCUCUUGGUUAGGUCUGAUCCAAACAAGUAGUAGUUACUGAUAGAUGACAUUAUUGGAUUUAUAAAGGAGAAGUCAUAUAGAACCUGGCAAUAGAAUAACAUACCAAACCCAGAAACUUUCAUCAUACUCUUAUCUCAGUGCAAUAACCAAACGUACUGACUGGUUGCACAUAACUUAUUUAUGUAAAUGGGUUCUGUAUGUGUUUCUAGGGUGCCUAUUGUUUCCUUGAAAACCUUCUAGAGCACUCCUCAUUUUUUGGAAGGAGUAGGGAUUUGAUUAGACACUUCUAGAAACGUACUAAUUCUAGGUGUCACUUUUUGGACUUAUCUCCUUAAGAUGCCUCUUGGUGUCAACGAGUAAAGAUAAACUCAUGCUCCUAGGUGACUAGGGAUGGUGGGGAAAGGAGGAAUCACAAGGAAGGGAUUAAGGUUGCUACAAUACAUAAUUAAAAUAGACUUACUGCGGGAUACUUUAAAUAUUUUAAUGUUUAUGUAUUCUGGAUUCUCAAAAAAAUGUAGUUAUGAUAGCAGGUGUAAGAGGGAAA